rnacentral:pre_miRNA from 1 species
UCUUAUAAAUGAGCAAAGAAAGUGAUUUCUUAUACUGGAAUCUACUCUUAGUGAAGAUGCUGUGAA